rnacentral:rRNA from 1 species
CCUACGGGUGGCUGCAGUGGGGAAUAUUGGACAAUGGGCGCAAGCCUGAUCCAGCCAUGCCGCGUGUGUGAAGAAGGCCUUCGGGUUGUAAAGCACUUUCAGCGAGGAGGAAGGGUGGUGUGUUAAUAGCACAUCAUUUUGACGUUACUCGCAGAAGAAGCACCGGCUAACUCUGUGCCAGCAGCCGCGGUAAUACAGAGGGUGCAAGCGUUAAUCGGAAUUACUGGGCGUAAAGCGCACGUAGGCGGUUUUUUAAGUCAGAUGUGAAAGCCCCG